GCGGUAACACCGGCGGCCCGAGUGGUGAUCGUGAGUAUUUGGUCUAAAGGGUCCGUAGCCGGUUUGGUCAGUCCUCCGGGAAAUCUGAUAGCUCAACUAUUAGGCUUUCGGGGGAUACUGCCAGACUUGGAACCGGGAGAGGUAAGAGGUACUACAGGGGUAGGAGUGAAAUCUUGUAAUCCCUGUGGGACCACCUGUGGCGAAGGCGUCUUACCAGAACGGGUUCGACGGUGAGGGACGAAAGCUGGGGGGCACGAACCGGAUUAGAUACCCGGGUAGUCCCAGCCGUAAACGAUGCUCGCUAGGUGUCAGGCAUGGCGCGACCGUGUCUGGUGCCGCAGGGAAGCCGUGAAGCGAGCCACCUGGGAAGUACGGCCGCAAGGCUGAAACUUAAAGGAAUUGGCGGGGGAGCACAACAACGGGUGGAGCCCUGCGGUUUAAUUGGACUCAACGCCGGACAACUCACCGGGGGCGACAGCAAUAUGUAGGCCAAGCUGAAGACUUUGCCUGAAUCGCUGAGAAGUGGUGCAUGG
rnacentral:rRNA from 1 species